AACUUUAAGCUGAAAAUGGCGCUGUAAAAGGCGCCAUUUUCAUAUUGUAGACAACGUAGGCUUUGUUCAUGCCGGAUGCGGCGUGAACGCCUUAUCCGGCAUGAAAACCCUUCAAAUCCAAUAGAUUGCAGUGAACGUGUAGGCCUGAUAAGCGUAGCGCAUCAGGCAAUGUUGCGUUUGUCAUCAGUUUCAAAUGGCGCUGUAAAAGGCGUCAUUUUCAUAUUGUAGACAACGUAGGCUUUGUUCAUGCCGGAUGCGGCGUGAACGCCUUAUCCGGCAUGAAAACCCUUCAAAUCCAAUAGAUUGCAGUGAACGUGUAGGCCUGAUAAGCGUAGCGCAUCAGGCAAUGUUGCGUUUGUCAUCAGUUCUAAAUGGCGCUUUAUAAA
rnacentral:misc_RNA from 1 species